GGAAUUCGGCCAUUACGGCCGGGGCUGGCGGUAUGCUUAACACAUGCAAGUUGAACGAAGAUAAUAGUUCAUUGAAUUAUAAUACUUAGUAGCGGACGGGUGAGUAACGCGUAAGAAUCUACCUUUAGGAAAAGGAUAACAACUGGAAACGGUUGCUAAUACUUUAUAUGCUGAGAAGUUAAAUAGGUUACUGCCUAAAGAUGAGCUUGCGUCUGAUUAGCUAGUUGGUAAGGUAAAGGCUUACCAAGGCAAUUAUCAGUAGUUGGUCUGAGAGGAUGAUCAGCCACACUGGGACUGAGACACGGCCCAGACUCCUACGGGAGGCAGCAGUGAGGAAUUUUUCGCAAUGGGCGCAAGCCUGACGAAGCAAUACCGCGUGAAGGAUGAAGGCCUGCGGGUUGUAAACUUCUUUUAUUAGAGAAGAUAAUGACGGUAUCUAAUGAAUAAGCAUCGGCCAAAUAUGUGCCAGCAGCCGCGGUAAGACAUAUGAUGCAAGCGUUAUCCGGAAUGAUUGGGCGUAAAGCGUCUGUAGGUUGUUUAAAAAGUCAACUGUCAAAAACUAAAGCUCAACUUUAGGCAGGCAGUUGAAACUUUUAGACUAGAGUAUGGCAGAGGUAGAGGGAAUUACUGGUGUAACGGUGAAAUGUGCAGAUAUCAGUAAGAACACCAAUGGCGAAAGCACUCUACUGGACCAAAACUGACACUCAGAGACGAAAGCUAGGGGAGCGAAUAGGAUUAGAUACCCUAGUAGUCCUAGCUGUAAACGAUGGAAACUAAAUA
rnacentral:rRNA from 1 species